AUGCACGCUGGCGGCGUGCCUAAUACCUGCCAGUCGAGCGAACAGAUAAGGAGCUUGCUCCUUUGACGUUAGCGGCGGACGGGUGAGUAACACGUGGGUAACCUACCUAUAAGACUGGGAUAACUUCGGGAAACCGGAGCUAAUACCGGAUAAUAUUUCGAACCGCAUGGUUCGAUAGUGAAAGAUGGUUUUGCUAUCACUUAUAGAUGGACCCGCGCCGUAUUAGCUAGUUGGUAAGGUAACGGCUUACCAAGGCGACGAUACGUAGCCGACCUGAGAGGGUGAUCGGCCACACUGGAACUGAGACACGGUCCAGACUCCUACGGGAGGCAGCAGUAGGGAAUCUUCCGCAAUGGGCGAAAGCCUGACGGAGCAACGCCGCGUGAGUGAUGAAGGUCUUCGGAUCGUAAAACUCUGUUAUUAGGGAAGAACAUACGUGUAAGUAACUGUGCACGUCUUGACGGUACCUAAUCAGAAAGCCACGGCUAACUACGUG
rnacentral:rRNA from 1 species